AACAAAUUCCACUUAGUGAAUGGAUUUGCUUUUGUCUAACAACUAGCACCAAAUAACCUUCCUAGAAUAGCGAAAGGACAAAAGGCGGUGCAAAUCUAGAAUCCUUAUUUAUAAGGUAAUAGCAAACAGAUUCUAUAGUAGAAACUAAAAAUGAAAGAUGUCUGGGAUCUCAUCACACCAAGAUUAACAUUGCAACAUCUUAUCAGUAUGCUCACCAAGACACAGAAAUAAGACAUCUUUCAUGACGCAAA
rnacentral:misc_RNA from 1 species